rnacentral:rRNA from 1 species
GACGUAGGGCGCGAGCGUUGUCCGGAUUUAUUGGGCGUAAAGAGCUCGUAGGCGGCUUGUCGCGUCGACUGUGAAAUCCCGCGGCUCAACUGCGGGUCUGCAGUCGAUACGGGCAGGCUAGAGUUCGGUAGGGGAGACUGGAAUUCCUGGUGUAGCGGUGAAAUGCGCAGAUAUCAGGAGGAACACCGGUGGCGAAGGCGGGUCUCUGGGCCGAUACUGACGCUGAUACGCGAAAGCGUGGGGAGCAAACAGG